GAGUUUGAUCUUGGCUCAGAUUGAACGCUGGCGGCAGGCCUAACACAUGCAAGUCGAGCGGUAGAGAGAAGCUUGCUUCUCUUGAGAGCGGCGGACGGGUGAGUAAUGCCUAGGAAUCUGCCUGGUAGUGGGGGAUAACGCUCGGAAACGGACGCUAAUACCGCAUACGUCCUACGGGAGAAAGCAGGGGACCUUCGGGCCUUGCGCUAUCAGAUGAGCCUAGGUCGGAUUAGCUAGUUGGUGAGGUAAUGGCUCACCAAGGCGACGAUCCGUAACUGGUCUGAGAGGAUGAUCAGUCACACUGGAACUGAGACACGGUCCAGACUCCUACGGGAGGCAGCAGUGGGGAAUAUUGGACAAUGGGCGAAAGCCUGAUCCAGCCAUGCCGCGUGUGUGAAGAAGGUCUUCGGAUUGUAAAGCACUUUAAGUUGGGAGGAAGGGCAGUAAAUUAAUAACUUUGCUGUUUUGACGUUACCGACAGAAUAAGCACCGGCUAACUCUGUGCCAGCCGCC
rnacentral:rRNA from 1 species